CCUAAGAGAUACGUGUUAUGUGCAGUGCUCACACAGAUUGUCUGAUGAAGAACGAGCAAAAGCGCGUCUGCGAAGCUGACAAAAGUCCCCUUCGUCUAGAGGCCUAGGACACCGCCCUUUCACGGCGGUAACAGGGGUUCGAAUCCCCUAGGGGACGCCAAUGCGCGGUAUGAGUGAAAGGCGUACCACUUAUCUGACGAGAGUCAGAGAAUAACUAAGCUAAUUCAAACGAGUUAUCUUACUUAUUAUGCUCUUUAACAAUCUGGAACAAGCUGAAAAAUUGAAAACAAAUCAAUAUAUCAACGAGGUAUAUUGGUGAGUCUCUCAAAAUCUCAAACCUUAAAGUUUGUCACACAAAGUUUAUCUUUGAAAAAGACACUUUCGGGUUGUGA
rnacentral:misc_RNA from 1 species